CAAUGACAAUUUCAUUUUUGUGCUAUUUCUCCACAUUCCACAAUCUUUAAAUUGCAAACUCAUCAGUAAAUGUGAGAUGUAAAGUUGUUAUACUAUUACUGUACUAAAGUUGCCAAUGUUGUUAAGGUGGAUUAUUGUGUUUCCUUAGUUGGCUAUAUGUGUGGCACAUGCAGAAAUGAUAUUCAGUGAUGAUUUAUAUUCAAGCAAUAAUACAGGCAUCCCAUGUGUGAGUAGAGACUGAUACACAUAAUGUAAGACCACUAAGCAGAAGUUUAAAGUGCCAUUUGUAG
rnacentral:misc_RNA from 1 species